CGCUGAGUUAAGCUUUCAGGUGCUGUGAAUAGCAGGCUUGGGUUAGCUGAUCCUGGAAAAAGAGUGCCCCGGGUUGUCUGCUGAUUAGUACGAAUAUUUUUCCUUAGGUCAUCAGGAUGGUCCCAGCUGAUAUAUGUGCAAGGUAAAACAUUACAGAGGAGGCCUUUCCUAUGUAACACAUGGGUAUUGUAUAUUUGCCAGGGUUUCCUUACAACGGCCAGCCUGAAACGGGCCUAGCCCUGCCGAGCAGAACUGCCCAGGUCCUGCCGAGGUGGCGCAGGCCCGCUCCUAGCACAGGCGUCCCUGCCAAGAGGGGUUCCAGCUGGAUCAGUUUUACACGACAGGACUUGGACACCUCAGUGUCCUGUCAUGGCUCUGCCCAUCAUGCAGGCCUUGCUUGCCCUCUCCUGCCUCCACCCCUCGGUAGCAGUGGCUGCGAUCACUGCUGCCAGGUUUUCAGCUGUGGUUUGUUACAAGGCAGCUAA
rnacentral:lncRNA from 1 species